CACAUUCCAAAGCUAAUCCAGAAGGGCAGCUGAAUCUUACUUCAACACUGGCUAUGGAAGAGCUUCCUCCUCUGCGCAAGAAGACUGGCCAGGGGGCUGCUGCCACUGCCCCACUCCCAGCAUUCGCAACUUGAGGCGGCCGUCUCUCUCUCACAAAUGGUAGGGCUGGUCCUGUCAGCUUUUUUACAUGGAACUGCAUGGAGAUCUGUUAACAUGACAAAAGGGGUUGUUGAUAGGCCAUCCAAGAGGAAUCCUUUGGCCUGGGGAGACAGAUGGGACUGUGUGUUUGAGGUGACAGGAAAAGAGAGUUUUUGAGCAAGGGGUGCUGGGAAGAAGGAAGAAGAAGAAAGACUGGGAUCCAUCUUGAGAAGGCUGGCUGGGAGAGAUGCCUUGGACUCCAAGGCUGUGGGAGACAAGUCUCUCUUGAAAUGACCAGGCUAUAAGAUCUGGACGGGUAAUAUUUAGCUGACUAGUUUGUAAGAAGGUAGCUUCAUCUGGUUUGUUGAUCCAUUUUAACAGGGGCUGCAAUCUGUAGCCAGUUUUAAAUUUACAGAUUAAUCUGCUCAAGCUUCCGCUAAUUAGCAAGGACAGAUUUUAAUCAGCAGAGGCACAAGUUGUGUGCACUUGUUUAGAGUCUGAGAAUGUUUUUGUUUUGGGUGUCAUGGGGAUGACAAAAACAAUUGAAGAAGGGCAUUUUUAUUUUAAAUAAGCUGAAGCUUCUGUGAAAGCUGUAAGCAACCUCAACAGCUUUGUCAUGUUCUGGUCCAGUACCAGAACCCACGGGGGAAGUGGUGAGGGUGGUUGAAGGUUACCGGACCGUGGGGAGCUCUGAGUGAGCAACUUGCUCCAGGAAAGGUUAGGAGCAGGCUGAGGUCUUUUAUGCCUCUGUCUCCAGACCACCUUUUUCGUGCUCCAUCCCCUUGGUGCAACAUUGGAGACUUACAGGGCCAACCCUCUGCCCUGAAGAUGGACACUCCUUCAUCCCCGGUGUGCUUCUGGUCUGGUUCUCCACACUCAGGUGUCCAUUAGGGUUCUGGCUCUGGCUUUGCAGACCUUGGUGGUUCCUCUGGGAGUUCUGGUCCAACUGCCUCAGGCACACUGGUCUCACUGCCUUCUGCAGCCAGCUCACCCCUGACCCAGACACAGCUCCCCAUCUGAUGCCCCUGCAGCCUUUGACUCUCUUUCCAGAUCAUGGCUGGAUAUCACAAACCUGAAGUCACCUAUAUUAAGGUUUUGGCAAAAGGCAAAUUAUUGACUGACCGGUUCAACAUUAGAUUAGAUAUCCCAUUGUUUUAAAAUCAGUUCAACUACAUUUAUGGUGCUGGAGUUGGGUUUUUUAAAAAACAGUGUGCUCUUAAAUUUUUGAGGAUUUGGAAAAGUGGAAAUGUGAUUUAUAAGCAUUUUUUUAAAUACACACACAAACAUAUAAAGUAAAUGAGAUUAAAUGGUGCAUCAUGGAAAGUGUUGCUGCUCUGCAGAAAACCUGCAAGUAAUAUGUAAAGAGAGAGCAUGUUGCAUAUUGCUAGGGUCUAGCAAAGUCACUAGCCUGCUUCUAGAGACCACAGGGAAAUGUGAGAAACCCACAGCCAAUGUGAAAGAGCUCUCUUAAUCUCUUUUUGCACAUGCAUCAAGUAACCCCAUGCUAUAUGUAAAUGUCGUAUAUCUUUAGUAAACAGACCAGCUACAUAUACCACAGUAUGUAUUUUAAUGGCAUUUUUCUAAAGGUCAGACAAUGCAAAGGAAAGUGGAUGGGGGGGAGGGGAGGUGAAAGAAAGAGGCCCAUAGCUCCAGCGUGAUAUAGCAGUCUUUUCAAAGGUACAUAUUCCCAGGGCUUUUCAUGUCAUUUGAUUAAAGGACAGCGUUCUGCCUAUUGGAGUGGGAAAAAUAAAGUCCUGCAAAUGGGCUUAUUUUGCCUUUCGAUCAGUUUGGUAUGCUCUCUCUCUCUUUCUCCCUCUCUCUCCCCGCCCCCCAUUCCCCAAUACUAUUUUCCAUCCUAUACCACCAAUACUGGGGACACUAUAUUCUGUUUAUGCUAAACCUCACACAUGUGGAAACAAAUCCACAAAUUGGUUCUGCCAAAUCCACAUGGGACUCCUUUGUUGAGUAUAGAUGGCAUCUUGCCCUCUGUGCAUAAAAGAAGUGUGUGUGUGUGUGUGUGUGUGUGUGUGUGUAUUUAUGCACCCUUCUACAAGUAUAUCUCUACCAUGCAUUGAAGAGGAUGCCAGAUCAGGGCAAAUGCCAAAACAUUUUUAAAGACUUUUCCAGAACCAAGAAAAACUACAUACGUACGUAAGUAAGUAAAUGUUAUGGCUCUCAGAAAUGCAUCUAAACCACUCUGAGACCUGCGGGUAUAGAGCGGUAUAUAAAUUCAAUAAAUAAAUGAAUAAAUGAAAGAAUAAAUGAAAAAAAAUUCAACGUAUCAGAUCAGAUAUGACAUCAGAUAAUAGAUUCUGCGUGCAGUUCCAUGUUUUGAUUAAUAAAUAAAACAACACAUCCUAAAGAUUUGGGCUACAUCUAAAGUGGAGCCUCUGCUAUAAUUUGAAGAUGCCUUUAAGUGGAGAAAUGUUAUUAUAUUAUUAUUUGUUUGUUUAUGCCCCCAACUUUUCCUCAAGAUAGCAUACACAUAAAAACAAGAACCGCUAAAAACAGAGCAAACAAUUAAACAUUACCAGAAUUGAAACUAUAUACAUAUAUAAAAGCUAUUAAAACCAUAUGAAUUAUUAUAAUGAAAACAGCACAGCACCAGCCGUUUCAUUAAAAGCAGUCAGAUCCCCAAAGCCUCUUGGAACAAGAAAAUCUUCCACAGGAAGGAGCCUGUCUAUCCUCUCUAGGGAGGGAGUUCCAAAGCCUGGGAGCAGUCACCGAGAAGGCCCUCUCCCAUGUCCCAAACACUUUUCUUUUUCGUUUGCACAGUUAAAACAUCCUGGGUGCAAUCCUGGAAAAAACAUGAAAUACAUGAAAAAGCCAUCAGUAUCCAUGUAUCUUUGUUAGAGUUCUCUGGAUGCUUCACCCAGUGUAAUCUGUUAGCAGAGGACCAAUAAUAUAGUCUAUGUAUAUGCAUUUCAUGUAUGUGAUCUUUGUUAAUUAAAUAGCAGCUACAGAGGGUGUGAUCAGGAUUAGAACAAUGUUCACAUGGCAGGGUAGAGUUUUUAAUUUCCUCCUGUGCCACAAUCCCAAUGAAAAUGCCUUCUUUAAGCCCCAGGAGGUCAGCUUUCAUUGGUGUCCAAAGCAGGUUCACUCCCGGAAAAUAGCAGCAAUUUCUGGGUUCCUAUUGGCACCGCAUCGUAAGACUAACCCCACACCCUCGCUGCACAGUGUGGUCUCGAUCCUGGCCCCCAGUAUUUGAUAACAAAAAGCAGGCAUGUUAAGUGUAUACUCACAUUUAACGUGUUGUCUGGUUUGGCUCACAGCCUUUGCCAGUUACCUAAAUUUGGCCUUGGUUGUGAAAGUGGUUUUUAUUUUCGUCAAGUGCCAUAAUUCCUUGACUUGAAGUCAGGAAGACUUUUGGGCCUUGAGUGACGCACUUGGUAGGAUCAGUCAAAACCACGAACUAUUUAAAAGAGGCAGCAUCAUAAAGACACACAUUUUUCUUUCUUCCUUUUUAACUCAGGUGCUGGUUGGGUCUCUGGAAGUUGCAACUGAACCCCAGUUUUGAAGAUUGGCUUUUCUCAGAGUUACAAAAAGCCAGUGUGGCAGGUCUGGCAUUUAUUUCUUUAAAGCCUUCUGAAAGGGAAUAUUUUUGGAAGUUUAAGGGAUAAGUGUACUUGGUGAUGCAUGAAGUUGCUGAUAAUUGCAGUAGCUGUUCAUCGUAGCUCUGCCCUUCCCAUGACAGCAAAGCACGGAUCCUAGGGACGUUUCAAAUGCCAUAUGAGGAGAAAGAAGGAAGUUCUGACAGCUUUAUUAUGGUUAUUGCUGCUUGAGAAACCGCUAUCCAGUUAGUAAGCACACUCUGUAUUUAGAACAUCUGGCUGUUUCUCCUCAGGAAGAACACCACGGACUGGGAGAAAUUAGCAACCCUGAAAUCAAGAGGGGAAACAUGUUGAGAAAUGUAUACAAGAAGCAAAAAUUAAAGUUGGAAGAAAGAUGCACGAAAACACAAACCACCUCCCCAGCUUCAAGAGAAAAAGUGUAACAGGAUAAAUUAAAGACAGGGAGGAAACCCCAUUGCCACAUGGGGUAUUUUCAGUUGAUCCAGACAUGGGAAGCCUCAUGAUGCUGAGGGCUGAAAGUGGCCCUUCAUGCUUCUCUAUCCGGCCCUUAGAAUUCUCCCCAGGCCACACCCACUUUCCACAGGCCACACCCAUCACUGGACCUGCUUCUCACCCCAAGUAUUUUUGCCUGCUGGUAUCUGUUCUUGAACUCUGACAAUGUGCCUUACACGCCAGGAUAGAGGAUAGUGUGUGUAGAAAUUAGCCUUCUGUAUAGAAAGGUAAGGGACGCGGGUGGCGCUGUGGGUUAAACCACAGAGCCUAGGGCUUGCCAAUCAGAAGGUCAGCAGUUCGAAUCCCCGCGACGGGGUGAGCUCCUGUUGCUCGGUCCCUGCUCCUGCCAACCUAGCAGUUCGAAAGCACGUCAAAGUGCAAGUAGAUAAAUAGGUACCGCUCUGGCGGGAAGGUAAACAGCGUUUCCGUGCUCUGCUCUGGUUCACCAGAAGCGGCUUAGUUAUGCUGGCCACAGGACCCAGAAGCUGUACGCUGGCUCCCUUGGCCAAUAAAGCAAGAUGAGCGCCGCAACUCCAGAGUCGGCCACGACUGGACCUAACGGUCAGGGGCCCCUCUACCUUUACCUUUAUAGAAAGGUAACAUUUAUAUUAAUCACUCCAGCGACUUUCGCCUUUGGUCUUGCUCGCCUCUGGUAUGCAGCUCUCAGAAGAUCUCCUAGAAACAUUUGGAAGACUGCCACCUUCCCUUCAGACUUUCUCGGGUGUUAAGAUUAUCAGAGGUGGUUCUCUUGUUCGUUCCACCAUGAACGUAGGAGCCCAUCUGAGGCAGCCCCCAAAUUGUGGAAUUCCCUCCACACAGAAGAGCGUCUGACACUUUCAUUAUCCUCAUUAUUUCUCCUAAGAUCCCAGGAUGAGUUACAACAACAGAAGUAAUGCAGAUUAAAACCGGAUAAAACCAAACCAUAUAGAGAACAAAAAGAGAUUAUCAACAGUCUUUUUGAAGCAAUUUUGAGAGGAAGGCAGGCAGCUGACGUUAAUGAAAAACUGAACAAACCACCAAGUCAGAAGAUGCUGAAGGUGAGCCUCUUUACCCUGGCCUCUGGCACCAGAGAGAGAGAGAGAGAGAUUUUUAAGACCCACCCUAUUCUUGUGGUUGUAAUUUGCUUGGAACUGAUUUUAAUACUGUAUUUUUAGAUUGCUAUAACCCGCCCUGGCACCUUACAGGGAAGGGUGAUGAGAAAUCGAAACAACAAACACAUAAGAAAAGUACUUCCCACCCCAGUUCAAUCUAGUCCAGGCUUCCUCAACCUCGACCCUCCAGAUGUUUUUGGCCUACAACUCCCAUGAUCCCUAGCUAGCAGGACCAGUGGUCAGGGAUGAUGGGAACUGUAGUCUCAAAAACAGUUGGAGGGCCGAGGUUAAGGAAGCCUGAUCUAGUCAGACUACUUCACGGUAUUUAACUUUUGUCUGAGCUGUGAGGCCUUUGCCAUCCUCCACCUGCUGGCAUCCUUGGUUGGUUGGUUGGUGUGUGUGCCUGUAAUGCCACUUUCUUCCUUGAACAAUGAGAUUUUAAAAUGAAUGGUUGCACACAUGUUCGGGAUACAAUUAUUUGUUUUAUGUUUGACUACCAGUCCAACUCCCUGCGCCUGUUUUCAAGGGGGAGGAGAAAUGGCAACAUACAGUGUUAUGCACUAUUUGGAGCAUGGAGCCUGACCUGCAUCAGAUGCACACAAAGGGACAGAUGAAUCUGUUGCUCUCAGUUUCUCAUUGUUUCUAUUUUUAAGUUCAUUCCUGCAUUGGUUUGCAAUGCUUUCAAAAAAUAACACCUCAAAAGUGUUUAUCAGCGUCGGGGUGUGAAUAUAUACAUCUGCAGAUGUGAUUUUGCCUGAUAUACAAGUUUGCAAGCAAUUUCUCCUAAUAUAGUGCAUUCUUGAAUAUUCUUUUCACUAAUAUCUACAUUUUCAUGCACACUUUCCCCUAAAACACUUUCUUUCUUUCUUUCUUUCUUUCUUUCUUUCUUUCUUUCUUUCUUUCCUUCCUUCUUUCUUUCUUUCUUUCUUUCUUUCUUUCUGAACUACAUUAUGAAUGCAUAGAAGUGUGAACUUUGAAGGGUAGCUAUGUUUUGGUUUGUGUAUUUUUUCAGGAAGUGUGAAUGAAGGUAAGGUACCCCUGCCCGUACGGGCCAGUCGUGUCCGACUCUAGGGUUGUGCGCUCAUCUCGCUCAAGAGGCCGGGAGCCGGCACCGUCCGAAGACACUUCCGGGUCACGUGGCCAGCGUAAUGAAGCUGCAGCUGGUGAGCCAGCACCAGCACCGCACACGGAAAUGCCGUUUACCUUCCCGCUAUAAAGCGGUACCUAUUUAUCUACUUGCACUUAGGGGUGCUUUCGAACUGCUAGGUGGGCAGGAGCUGGGACCGAACGACGAGAGCUCACCCCGCCGUGGGGAUUCGAACCGCCGACCUUGCGAUCAGCAAGUCCUAGGCACUGAGGUUUUACCCACAGCGCCACCCGCGUUGUGAAUGAAGGUAACUCACAUUAAAGUAUUAACCAAACCUAAUUUAUCCCACAUCCCUAUGCAGAAGUCAGCUUCUGCUUAUGGGUAUUAAUAAUAAUAAUAAUAAGAAGAAGAAUAAUGCAGUGGUACCUCAGUUUAUGAACUUAAUCCAUUCCGGAAGUCCGUUCUUAAACCAAAACCGUUCUUAAACCGAGGCACACUUUCCCUGAUGAGGCCUCCCACCGCCGGUGCCCUUCCACCGUUCGGAUUCCAUUCUUAGACCAAGGUAAAGUUCUCAAACCAAGACACUAUUUCCGGUUUUGCGGCGUUUGUAAACAAAAUCAUUCUUAAACUGGACUGUUCUUAAAUCGAGGUACCACUGUAAUAAUGCAGGUUACAACAAUUUAAAAUUUACAACAACUUUAAAAACAGGUUAAAACUUACAAUUAUAAAAACUGCAAAAAAUAUAGCUUGUUGGUCUGGAGCACUUCUUACUGUUUGAAGAAGCUUGCUUCAUGAGGUAAAUAUGGGAAGCAGAUUCUGAGGGGUCUUUGCACAAACCCUGAAAGUGGUGGUUAUGCACCAUUAUGCAGUCCCUAAUGCUCUGCUACUAAGAAAACUUUUCUGCAAUAUAACACCAAUUCUUUUUUUAAAAGGAAAUUUCAUAUUUAGCUUCUUUCACUCUCUUUUAGCAAAGCUUUGAAGCAGAACCUUUCUCCCAGAGGUAGAUUAUCUGAAUGCUCAUUUACUGAGACCGCAAUGCCCAUUAUUACAGGACAUGCAAAUGUUUCAUACAGUGUAUGAAGAAAAAUUAUUCCAAAUGAUUAUUGAUGGGUUAAUCAAGAAAACCAUGUCAACUUCUUUUGUCCAUUAAUGUGGACGGUAUUUCACAAUCAUCAUAAUAAAAGCCAAAUGUUAAUGGUUCAGGUAAUCAGAUCCUAAUGAAGAACAGCGAUGGAUUCUCGCUUUUAAAUAGUUUACAAUUUUCAUAAUCACUGAAGUGGUCAGUUGGUCCCACGAUUCUUCAUAUUUCAUACUGCAUCUUUUCCAACCUGUUCUUUAGUUUAACUUUUUCCUCUUGUUUUCUUUUCAGAAGGGGAAAAAAAGUUAAGGAAGCAGAAGGCAGGAUAUGAACACCUUUGAAAUGAAAAAAUCAUCAAGCAAUAGUGAUGGUGGCCAAUAAUUCAACAUGUCACACACAUCAAAGAAAUUACAAAAUAUCAUGUUGCAAAUCGGCUAGUAGCUGCAGAUAUACUGCAGGCCUCUUUCCCCUUCUUUAUAUAUGGUUAUUUAUACCUAUGAGAAAUCCCAGCAUUUGGAUUGUCCAUGAUCUUAAUUUACUUAACAUAAUCUAACAAAAACUACCAUAGAGGUUUCAAAAUUUUCAAAAGUAGGGGGUCCAUGGCAUGGCUUUUGAAGAACAGGGGGUCUGCAGUACUUAACUAAUUGGGAAUCAUUGACUUAGAGGUUUCCUAACCAUCAAGCAAUAUAAAAAGCAUUGCUAAAUAAAUAAAUAAAACAUCAGGA
rnacentral:lncRNA from 1 species